GGGGUUAUAGCUCAGUGGUAGAGUGCAUGCUUAGCAUGCACGAGGUUCUGGGUUCCAUCCCCAGUACCAUCA
rnacentral:tRNA from 1 species